CCCGACUGCUAUCGGAUUGGGACUAAGCCAUGCGAGUCAACUCCGCAAGGGGUGGCGCACGGCUCAGUAACACGUAGUCAACCUACCCUGGGGACGGGGAUAACCUCGGGAAACUGAGGCUAAACCCCGAUAGGCCAUGGCUCCUGGAAUGGGCUAUGGCUGAAAUCUAUAUGGCCCCAGGAUGGGACUGCGGCCGAUCAGGUUGUUGGUGGGGUAAUGGCCCACCAAGCCUAUAACCGGUGCGGGCUCUGAGAGGAGGAGCCCGGAGAUGGGCACUGAGACAAGGGCCCAGGUCCUAUGGGGCGCAGCAGGCGCGAAACCUCCGCAAUGGGCGAAAGCCCGACGGGGUCAGUCCGAGUGGUUCCCGCUGAGGGAACCUUUUGCCAGCUGUAAACAGGCUGGCGAAUAAGGGGUGGGCAAGUUUGGUGUCAGCCGCCGCGGUAAUACCAGCACCCCGAGUGGUCGGGACGAUUAUUGGGCCUAAAGCAUCCGUAGCCGGCCCAGUAAGUCCUCCGUUAAAUCCAACGGCUCAACCGUUGGGCUGCGGGGGAUACUGCUGGGCUAGGGGACGGGAGAGGCGAGGGGUAUUCCCGGGGUAGGGGUAAAAUCCACUGAUCCCGGGAGGACCACCAGUGGCGAAGGCGCCUCGCUAGAACGUGCCCGACGGUGAGGGAUGAAAGCUGGGGGAGCGAACCGGAUUAGAUACCCGGGUAGUCCCAGCCGUAAACGAUGUAGGCUCGGUGUUGGGCUGCCUCAGUGGCAGCCCAGUGCCGCAGGGAAGCCGUUAAGCCUACCGCCUGGGGAGUACGGCCGCAAGGCUGAAACUUAAAGGAAUUGGCGGGGGAGCACCACAAGGGGUGAAGCCUGCGGUUU
rnacentral:rRNA from 1 species